rnacentral:lncRNA from 1 species
UGCUGGAUGAAUUUUGUUCAUUCCGAUGCACUUAUCACUUGACACUAUUGAAUAGUUUAUGUUAUAUCAGGAGGACGGUAAUAAAGCUACACAUCUAGUUGUAGCCAUAUAUUAAAAAAGCUGGUAUCAAGUUUGGAAUAUAACAGUUGUUCACCUUACGUUCCAUUGAAUGUUGUAGUCUUAUGAAUAUUUUUUUAUCAAUUUUCUGUACCCCCUUUUAUUCUUUUACCUUAGAGUUUGGUGUUUUGUUACUACUUUUUUGUAUCAAAACACGUAGUUUCAUUAUAUUCUAUUCGCAGAACAAUUUCAAUAUGGGAACAAAAGGUAUUUUACUGUAUUAACAUCAAAAUACCUCUGUCUGUAUCUGUAAUGUGAUGAUAUAAGAAUUUAUAAUACAAAGAAGAAAAACAAUCACAAAUAUAUAUCAGCUGUUUUAUGUAGAACUGUUAUUACAAUACUAUUUUAUCUAUAUUAAUGAUGGUCAAGGUAUGUCUGUCUAUCUAUAUACUUGUUUCGUCUUUUACUGACAAUGCA